rnacentral:lncRNA from 1 species
CAUAAUUUUCUAAGAAUUUUGAGUAUGAGAAGGUUAUGUGGAACCUAAACAUGAAAAUGGGAUUUUGUAGGAAUGGAGAUCUAGCUUGGAAUUGAUCUCAUGUAAUCCUAAUUGAAGGUAAAACCACUGCGUUGGAAGGCUCAGAUCGAAGUUCCGACGAAUCUACAUCAAGUUAUUGAGGAAAAACCACAUUUAGGCUUCGUUUGUCGUGGAUUGAGAGAGAUAAGCUUCCAAAAAUCACGAGACUUGGGUUCUCGCAUCUCGACAUCCCUACGAGGUGGGUGGUGCUAUCUGAAGUCUUCGAAUGAAUCGUUAUGUCUAGUGACUUCUUGAGCAUGUUGUAUGUGUAUAGUGUAUUUAUGCAUUAUAGGAUAAAUAUGGCAUAUGGGGUGCGUUUGGCUCAUAUUAUGAAAUAUUACUAGGAAUAAAAGAUAUCCGAGAAUCUUAUUCCUAUUCAUCCUAUUACUAAGAAUGUGGAAUUCCUGUGUUUGGUUCGUACGGUAAUAUUAAUUAGCCAUGUUAUUUAAUAUUACAAAAAAUAUACAAUUUAUUUAUUUAAUUUUAUAUAAUAUUACCAAAAGUUUCAACAUUUUUUUAGAAAAAAGAAAGAGAGAGUAUAAGUUAGAGAGAGAGAGCAUAAUUAAAAAAAAAGAAAGAAAAAUAUAGUUGAAAUUAGAGGGAGUGAGAGAGUUGAAAUUUUAGAAAGAGAGAGAGAGAGAGAAAGCUUAGUUUAGAGAGAGAAAAAAAAGUUGAAUUUUAGAGAGAAAAAUAAGUUUAGAGAGAGAUAUAAGGUUAGAGUGUAAAGAAAAAUAAUAUCAAUUAGCCGGCGGGUAAGAAGAAAGAAAGAGAUUAGACAUAUUAUGAUUACCCCAAUCCAUUAAUAUGAGGAUACCCACCCUCCCUCAAGGGAAUGAGAUUAGUACUUUGGGGUGAAUCUUAUUCCCAAGUGAAUCCAAUAUUACCAACUAGAUUACUUAGUGUGUUUAGCCAAACACCGUCAUAUUUUUUUAUUCCCAUUAGAUUACUAGGAAUCUUUAAAAGAUAGCGCGAACCAAACGCACCCAUGUGGUAAUUAUGCAUUCUUGUAUGCUUUGGAAGCAAAGAAUAUGCGAACUAUAGAUGUUGAACAUAGAAACCUUAUAUAUG